ensembl:lncRNA
GGGGAGGGAAGCGCCGCUGCCUCGCCAGCCCCGGGCCUGUGACACGGGCGGUUUCGCUGGCAGCGGGUAUAUUUAGCACUUCCCCGAGCCCUUCGUGUGCUCCUGCCGCCGUGCGAGCGCUCGGUAAUUAAUUGACGCGGCUCUCGGCGGUGGUCCCGGGGCUUGCGGUGGCCCCCCGGGGUUAAUGGUGGCCCCCCGGGGCUUGUGGUGGCUCCCCGGGGUCGUGGUGGUCCCGCGGCCCCACAGGUUUUCCUGACUGUUCUGUGGCCCUGUCGCUGCAGCCGCCAUGGAUCCGAAUGCUGUGGCUGCAAAGGCUUCUUACUUUCUCAUACUGGAUCCCUCAAAUCCAAGAGCUGCUUGGCAGUUUCCAAGGCAACCACCUGUGGAAUAAUUAAAAAGGAUGAAGCGUUAGUGUGCCAAAGAUACGGAAUUCUUGCCUGGAGAGAGCACUUCAUUUUCAUCUGUUGUGAAGAAUCAAAUGUGUCUCUGCCAGCAAAGUUAAGAAGAAGAAAUGGUGACCGAGCUGUGCAAGUGAACCAGGACAAUCCAAAAAAUUCAGAAGGCGUCUGUGAGCGGCCGGGCAGGACUAGCACAGGAGAGGUGCUUCUGGUACCUGCUGCCUCUCGCCUGGGGCUUGUGCCAGCAAGGAGCCGAGGUGCCGGCUUCACAUCACACCUGGGCUCGAUUUCGGAUGCUUCUCCUGGCAACGCAGGGGGGCAGGUGCAGGAAGCUACUACAGGGAAGGAGGCUUACUAGUUUUCUCAAGGCUUGGGAUUAUGCAGUGGAGCAGCGUAUUUUAGACGCUACGGAGAAAGUUCACAACAGCAUGGUCAAAAGGUGCGUUGCUCAGAAAUACAUCCCCUUUGCUUGGCUUAUUUCACUUCGAUUUCAGAUUGUAGAGGUCUAAGCCUUUCCAGCUAUCAUUCUAAACGCUAAAUGGGAGUAGGUGGCCUGAAGUCUACGUAUUAACUUAAUUGUUUCCUGCUGUUGUAAAGUAGAUUUUAUUUCUGGCGAUAUUAUCUCUUAAUACUUUCAUUACCGGGCUUUUUCUGUUUGUUUGUUGAAGGGACACACUCAAGAGAAAGUGAAGGGAAACGCUCACUUGAUCUCAGAAAAAAAGCAAGCAGUUAAUGCUGGUAGCUCUGUUGACUAUGUAAUCCUGAGGUAGCGUCCAUAGGAAAAUGGCCACGCAGCUUAAACAAGAAGUAAGAAUAUUUUUAGCGUGUCGAAACUGUUUAAAAUGCUGAAAUGGGAGUAGGGCGAGGAGGGUGGUUUAAAAAAAGCAAAACAAACAAAACAAAAACAAAACAAAACAAGAAAACAGCACCCGUCCCUUGUGAUUCUCUGGUUUUGUCUGAGUUUUUUUUUCUUCCCUACGAUCAGUCAUGUGUGUCAGCUGUUUGCUGCCUUAAGACUGCACCUACGUGCAAGAUGUAUUUGCCUAGUAGUAAUAAUAUUUUUGUGAUGCUUGCCAUCUGGCAGAUAGGUCGCACACCUUUGUAUUAAAAUCUGUGGCUCCCUGUUUGCGUGUUGCUGUGUUUUAUGGAUGGAGACUCCGGUGCACGGACUUGUUAGGUUACAGUUUUGGUCUGAGGAAUUGUUCAGAGCUUACUAUUUAUUAUCAGAAAUAGGGCUUCACUAUUCCUCUGUCUUGCUGGAUCUGGUAGGACCAAUCCAUUAGUGGGCAAACAGUUUGUCUGCCUAAAAAAUGUUGGGUUCAUUUCCUAAAAGAAAUGCUAACCAGCUAACGCAGAGUAAGAGAUCCAAGUACCUUCUUUACCCGGUGGUUCAGGAGGUGCUGGAAGUUUGAGGUUCUGAUCCAAAAGUGUAUGUGCAGGUCACAAGGUGUAAAUACCUGUCAAAAACGAUCUCAAAAUCGUACGCCCAUUAAAAGCUGCGUACAAAUACUAGUCCCACUGCCAUUUACAGUAGCAAGAUGACCUCUCUUGAAUAAAGUUAAUAAAUUUGUGUCA